AAAAGGACAAAAGACUACUUGAGUCAGUCAAGAGCAGCAAAAAGUACAUUUGGAGUGAGAAAGUUGGCAACCCUAACUACCGGAAGGAACUCUUGCAACAGAAGAAGCUGGGUCGGACAUGGCAGAAACUCCAUGGAGCUGGUGGGAGUUUGGAGGGAAACUAAAUGGCUAAAUGGCUUUGCAUCUUUUACCGGAUUGAGGCAGAAGCUUUGUUGCAGUCGGAUAUAAGGGAAGAGCUUCGUCUAAAGACGGCCAUCUUUAUGAGCCGCACCGCCUUCGAUGAUCUUGGUGACAUAGAUACUGUUAUCUCCUGGUAUGUGCUGGUUCCCCACCCCUCCAGCAAUGCUGAAACCUAAUCCUGGGAAAGGAGAGUGAUGAGAGAGCCAGAGAGAGCGAGCAAAGAAGGCAGCACCACCCUGCAUCCACACCCAGACCAGACAUCUCCUUCUCGACGGACUGAUAUGCAACACACUAGGUAACUGAAAACCCACAUUCAAAGGCAGAGGAAACUCAUUUUUGAACCCUCUUGUUCACAGAUUUGUCAUUGUUGUCUGACUCUGACUGCACUGAGGCAAGGAAAGGA